rnacentral:snoRNA from 1 species
UCUUCAGUAAGGGUCAAUUCAGACCUGAAUCUGAAAAUGAUGAAAUCGGGCGAUGAGUAAAAGUGAGUUAUAACGCACGGAUCGUGAGGGCCGCAACCCCUCACGAAGCCCGGAUCUGAA